rnacentral:ribozyme from 1 species
AAAAAAAAAGCAAAAAACAAAAAGCAGGAAGAAGAAAAGUAAAACACACACGUCGAACCAAGAUUGUCUUUAUGAUGUAUCGUGUUUGUGUGCUUGCUUUACUCUUUUCUGCCA